AUUGCACGCUGGCGGCAGGCCUAACACAUGCAAGUCGAACGAGUGGCGGACGGGUGAGUAAUGUCUGGGAAACUGCCUGAUGGCGGGGGAUAACUACUGGAAACAGUAGCUAAUACCGCAUACCAUCAGAUGUGCCCAGAUGGGAUUAGCUAGUUGGUGGGGUAACGGCCCACCAAGGCGACGAUCCCUAUCUGGACUGAGAGGAUGACCAGCCACGCUGGAACUGAGACACGGUCCAGACUCCUACGGGCGGCACCAGUGGGGAAGAUUGCACAAUGGGCGCAAGCCUGAUGCAGCCAUGCCGAGUGUAUGAGGAAGUCCUUCGGGUUGUAAAGUACUUUCAGCGAGGAGUCGUUACCCGCAGAAGAAGCAACGGCUAACUCCGUGCCAGCAGCCGCGGUAAUUC
rnacentral:rRNA from 1 species